rnacentral:rRNA from 1 species
GACGACGCUGGCGGCGUGAUUAGGCAUGCAAGUCGAACGGUAUCAGUUCCUUCGGGGGUGAGAGAGUGGCGAACUGGUGAGUAACACGUUAGGUUAUCUACCUCAAGACGGGGACAACCCAGGGAAACUUGGGCUAAUACCGGAUGUGAGCAACUUUUAGUUGUUUGAAAGGUGGCGUAAGCUGUCGCUUGGGGAUGAGCCUGCGUCCUAUUAGUUAGUUGGUGAGGUAACGGCUCACCUAGGCAAUGAUAGGUAGGCGGCCUUAACGGGUGGUCGCCCACACUGGGAUUGAGAUACGGCCCAGACUCCUACGGGAGGCAGCAGUCGAGAAUAGUCUACAAUGGUCGGAAGACUGAUAGUGCGACGCCGCGUGAACGAUGAAUCCCUUCGGGGUGUAAAGUUCUUUUAUAUGUGAGCAGUGCUUCUUAUAUUAACAGUAUGGGGAGAGAGAUAUUAGCAUAUGAAUAAGCAACGGCUAACUCCGUG